AUUGAACGCUGGCGGCAGGCCUAACACAUGCAAGUCGAAUGGUAACAGGAAACAGCUUGCUGUUUCGCUGACGAGUGGCGGACGGGUGAGUAAUGUCUGGGAAACUGCCUGAUGGAGGGGGAUAACUACUGGAAACGGUAGCUAAUACCGCAUAACGUCGCAAGACCAAAGAGGGGGACCUUCGGGCCUCUUGCCAUCAGAUGUGCCCAGAUGGGAUUAGCUAGUAGGUGGGGUAACGGCUCACCUAGGCGACGAUCCCUAGCUGGUCUGAGAGGAUGACCAGCCACACUGGAACUGAGAAACGGUCCAGACUCCUACGGGAGGCAGCAGUGGGGAAUAUUGCACAAUGGGCGCAAGCCUGAUGCAGCCAUGCCGCGUGUAUGAAGAAGGCCUUCGGGUUGUAAAGUACUUUCAGCGGGGAGGAAGGGAGUAAAGUUAAUACCUUUGCUCAUUGACGUUACCCGCAGAAGAAGCACCGGCUAACUCCGUG
rnacentral:rRNA from 1 species